UUGUGAAGAAAGAAAUUCUUA
rnacentral:miRNA from 1 species